rnacentral:pre_miRNA from 1 species
AGCCUUCUGUAUUCGUGCUGAGAUUUCGUCACACAUCAGACCACAAGGGCUGAUAAGACUCCCAACAUAAGUGAAUUG